GCACCGCGUCCCGCAGAUCCGUGUCCCGCAGUUCCGCGUCCAUGAUUUACGGAACGAUUCCAUCCUAAGCGUUGCCUCCGCCGAGCCCUAUCGCCUCCACGCAAGCCCAGCGCCCGUCGCACUCUCGGUCCCUCUCUCCGCUGCCCUUGACGUGCGCCUUUCUCCGCCGCCCUCGACUGAUCGAUCAUCUGCAUAUUUUUUUACAGCAGAGGAAGAAGAGAAAUUCCACACAAGGCCUCGGUGGUGGCGGUCGCUGCAACCGCCCCCAAUGAUGCCCGCGACUCUCGCCUUGGGAGUUCGGUCUACUGGGUCUGGAUCCGGGCGGGGGCAGAGGCGGCUCCGGGCCCCGCGGCUCGACAGGAGGAAGAAGGCUUAGUGCGCUACAUCCCCGUCAAGGCCUACUUCCUCUCCAUCAGCAUGGGAGCGACUUGGUAAAUCCAUCCACCUGGUCGCUAAACUACAUUGCGCUCUGCUACUCUAAAUUCCCUCCAGAGAUCAUGGGCGUUGGAGGGAAGAACGACAUAUUUUGCUGUCACUAUGUGGUUCUCUUCCAAUAUGGUUCUGCUGUGCUCUUCAAUGUAUAUAAUCAGGAAUCAUGCUUUUGGGAUGGCUUCUGGAGAUGAGGAAAGACGGAUUAUGCAGUAGUUGAGAAGCCAUCCCAGACAACUUGGAUGAAAGGAUGUCUUGAUUAUAUAGUUCUUAAAAGUUUAGAUACGGAUGGAAUUCGGAUCAUUUCAAGUGUUCUGGUCAAAGCAUCGCUCUUGAUUAUUGCAUACGGCAGGUUGAUGAUAUGGUUGAGGAGUUUACUGAAAUCAAUCGUAUCAUGGAGAAGACUGGGGACUUCACAAUGAAAAGUAAGAAGCUCUUUCAACUUAUGGGCUAGGCUAAUUCUAAUCUUGCAGAUGUUAUCAUUAGACAUGGCCUUUUUCACCGGUAUGUAAGUGUUACACUCUCUCGUGCAUAUUAUAUAUCAUAUACCAUAUAUUUUAGCAGUGUAUAUGUUUUCAUUUUCUGGAAAGAAGGAAUUUCAAUACGCAUCAUCCCCAUGUACUGUGGAGUGUUAUGGAAAAGAAGUCAUGUAACUGUCAAAAAAAUAAGAAGAUAUAACUUGACAUCGUAGCCAGGUAGGACAAUAUGAUAUCUAUAGACCAGUUCGAGACUCACAUGGUACUUCUCUCGGGAAAAAUUGAACAGUAAUAUUUAUGCUGUUCAAUGAAAAAAUUUCCUCGUGCUUUCAAGGAAGUUUGAUGUUUUGAUCUCCAGAUAUACAAAAUAUACAAUGCCAUAGCUCUUUAUGUUUUUAGUGUUUUUAUUUACUAGCAUUGUGUCCUGCUUUGAGAAUCAAAGAACAACAGAUGCACACUGAGACUAUUACCCCCUGUCGCAGAUGUUCCUCCACCCACAACAGCAAAGGCUGCUGCCGUCGCAAGCAAGUGCUGCCCCGCUGUCUCCUCACGUCAAAGACUGAAGCAUUGCCGCCGCUGUUUCUUUGCGCACGGCAGACAUGCAUCGACCCGCAAUUUUUUUUUCACGUGCCGGAGAGCCAGAAUGUGGAGCUCGACAAAUACUCGAAAUCCUGGUUUUGGCCAUCUACGUGCAGUUCCACCGUUUGUUAUGAACAGAAAACUGAGGUGACUUGUGAUUUCUGAAUCUGCGGAGGGAAUUAGAAAAACUUAAGAGGAAGUUGGAGACAGUGUUUAAGUAUACUGCCAUCAACCUGAUCAAUAUGUUCCUCCUUGCAUUUGCUCCAUUACAUUAACUGUAUAUCCAGCAAUGAUGAUAGAAGAGAUAAAUAGUAAACGUACUUGAUUUUCAUUUGUAGAUGCUUUUGACUUUUAUAAGUUUCAUAAAAUAUUUUGUCCAUCAAACUCUAUGUUUCUUAUAGACAUGAAAAAGGAUAUGCAACUGUCAAGAGAAGAGAGUGCAGUAACCACUGGAGAGUGGAGACAGUGGAAGAAGGUGGGAACUACAUGUUCAUUGCAACGCUUUGCUACUUACCAUUUGCAUGUGGAGGAUGCUCCCGGGUGAUUGCCAAAGCAUGCCAAUUACCAUUUGCAGCUACUAUGUGAAGUGGCAGCUGGUGAACCAGAUCGACAAUGGAUCAAUUAGUAGUGUCGCCAUCCUUGGUUCUGAAGCAAUUCGUGAGGCGUCUCCUGCCAUAACAAUCUGGUUCUUACCUGAGUAUUGUCUACUAAGACGCCAUGUUGCUAGGUAAGUAUAAACAGUGGAUUAUCUCCAUUCAUGUGUUGCAGCUUCUACCAUCCUCCUUUUUUAGCAUGUCAGACACUCAGUAUACUUAUUCAUAUAGAUAGAUUUUUUAAGUAUAAGAAGCUCAUGUUUAGAUACUUAAUGCUGAAAUGUGAACCAACAAUGCAACAUGAACACAAUUAUUAGUGCAUGAUACUUUGAUCAAUAAUUUCUCUGUCAUCGGCCGUGCACUAAUUUAGACAUAUUCUGUUUUUCUGAAAGCAAUUCAUCCCAAAUUUUCGUCUAGCCGCAUUGCAUUUUUAUCCUGAAUCUCCGUCAUCAUUCAUUUUUGCAAAGAUUUAUUGCAUUUAUGAGACACAUUUACUCCAUUUUAAUUCAAUUUACCAUAUAUUAAUCCACUUCAAUUAGCAACAAGAUCCCAAGCUGAAACUAUUGCGGUCUGGGCUGGUAUGCGACUCCCAUUUUCCCAUUAUUGAUUUUUUUCACAAUGGAUACAUUCGAGCAUUGCAUUUUAAAGUCAAGUUUUAGCAAUUAUUUUUUAGCAGAAAUGCAGUGAUCUAUAUGCAAACAAUCUCUCUGUUUUAGUAAUGUUAUGGGACAUCAGAGAGCAGAUGGCAUGUCACAUCCCCAAUAAAUGUGUCAAUCAUACUAAAUCAUGGAUGAUUUUUAAUUUUGGAUAUUGAAAGAAUGCUAUUUUCUCGAGUAUAAUAUGACAAUACUCCCUCUGUAAAGAAAUAUAAGAGCGUUUUGAUCAUUAGUAGUGAUCUAAACACUCUUAUAUUUCCUUACAGAGGGAGUACUAAUUAACUCUUUCUGUUUGUAAGCUAUCUUGAUAUUUCUUAGCUGUUUUGAUGUUUCGCUUGGCAGAAAGUAUCACUGUAGUACUGCUUGAGAAGACAUAAGUGUGGGUGAUUGUGGUUUUAAAUCAGAGAAUUAUGGUUUCAAAGUUAUUCGUUAAAGGCCAAGAUGUUCUCAAUAUGCUGCAUCUGGAACGUCUCUGAAGAGAUUAACCAUCUGAAGACUCGGUCACCUGGUUUUAUUUUAAAUGAAGUUGUGUGUGUGAGGGAGUGAGCAAUAAAUUUGUGCAUGAACUAACGACGUUGGUGAGAGUUUAGGUGUUCGUAGAAUUGGUUAGGUGAAUACCCCGAUCUUGUAGUUAGAUGGUUGUAACUAACAUCUUACACUCUUUUAAUGGUGAUCAAUAGAUUGGUGUGUCCAUCGGAAGAUAAAACGUGUCAAGAAUUGUAUGUUGUCGAUAAUAGACCAUCUAGAAUUGAACCCCUGUUACUUUGUCCCCAUUUAUUCGGAUGGACAAUCCAGACACGAGAGAAAGAAAAAAGGCCACCCAAUUG